AAGAUUAAGCCAUGCAUGUCUAAGUAUAAGCAAUUAUACAGUGAAACUGCGAAUGGCUCAUUAAAUCAGUUAUCGUUUAUUUGAUAGUACCUUACUACUUGGAUAACCGUGGUAAUUCUAGAGCUAAUACAUGCUUAAAAUCCCGACUGUUUGGAAGGGAUGUAUUUAUUAGAUAAAAAAUCAAUGCGGGGCAACCCGGUUUUUUGGUGAUUCAUAAUAACUUCGCGAAUCGCAU
rnacentral:rRNA from 1 species